UACGAGGGGGGCAAGCGUUGUCCGGAAUUAUUGGGCGUAAAGAGCUCGUAGGCGGUCUGUCACGUCGGCUGUGAAAUCCCGAGGCUCAACCUCGGGUCUGCAGUCGAUACGGGCAAACUAGAGUAUUGCAGGGGAGACUGGAAUUCCUGGUGUAGCGGUGAAAUGCGCAGAUAUCAGGAGGAACACCGGUGGCGAAGGCGGGUCUCUGGGCAAUAACUGACGCUGAGGAGCGAAAGCGUGGGGAGCGAACAGG
rnacentral:rRNA from 1 species